AUUGAACGCUGGCGGCAGGCCUAACACAUGCAAGUCGAGCGAGCGGCGGACGGGUGAGUAAUGUCUGGGAAACUGCCUGCUGGCGGGGGGUAACUACUGGAAAAUGUAGCUAAUACCGCAUACCAUCAGAUGUGCCCAGAUGGUAUUAGCUAGUAGGUGGGGUAACGGCCCACCUAGGCGACGAUCCCUAGCUGGUCUGAGAGGAUGACCAGCCAAACGGGAACUGAGACACGGUCCAGACUCCUACGCGAGGCAGCAGUGGGGAAUAUUGCGCAAUGGGCGAAAGCCGGAUGCAGCGAUGCCGCGUGUGUGAAGAAGGCCUUCGGGUGGUAAAGCACUGUCAGCGGGGAGGCGGUACCCGCACAAGAAGCACCGGCUAACUCCGUGCCAGCAGGCGCGGUAAUUC
rnacentral:rRNA from 1 species